CCUACGGGUGGCAGCAGUGAGGAAUAUUGGUCAAUGGGCGAGAGCCUGAACCAGCCAAGUCGUGUGAAGGAUGACGGCCCUACGGGUUGUAAACUUCUUUUGUCAGGGAGCAAAUGGAUCCACGCGUGGGCUUAGCGAGAGUACCUGAAGAAAAAGCUUCGGCUAACCCCGUGCCAGCAGCCGCGGUAAUACGGAGGAUGCGAGCGUUACCCGGAUUUAUUGGGUUUAAAGGGUGCGUAGGCGGCAUAUCAAGUCAGCGGUAAAAAUUCGGGGCUCAACCCCGUCGUGCCGUUGAAACUGAUGGUCUUGAGAAGGCGAGAGGUAUGCGGAAUGCGUGGUGUAGCGGUGAAAUGCAUAGAUAUCACGCAGAACUCCGAUUGCGAAGGCAGCAUACCGGCGGCCAACUGACGCUGAAGCACGAAAGCGUGGGUAUCGAACAGGAUUAGAUACCCUAGUAGUC
rnacentral:rRNA from 1 species